UGUAAACAAAUACCCCAGUCCUUCUUCUUCUAUUGUAUUUCUGACAGAGUAGCUGCUCUGGUGGUCGGUACCUGGAUUAUUAAAACACACCUUCUGCUACCUCCGCCAACAUUUUAACUUUAAACUUUUCAUUAAUAUUGCAUUUUAUUAGUGUAGCACUCAGCAACAAAUGAAUUUAAAAUGCAGAACACACAAUGCACAACAAAAGUACAAAAGACAUUAUGCAAGAACAGUAACAUAAAUAUGGGAAUGAAGUGAAAUAAAAUCAGAAGAUAUAAAAGAAUUUAGGAGGAUUAAAAAACAUGAGGUGAAGUAAAAACCCAUAAAAACACCAUCAAUGCAUAAUACACAGCGUAUAAAGCCAAACUCAUGUAUAUUGAUGAGUCAGAUUAAGCUACACGGCGCUUCUCCUUCAAAUAGAAUCGCCCUGAAGAAGCUGGUGAUGAAACUCACAGCGACAGAGGAAUUUGAGGAAUCUGGAGUCCACUAUCCGCUGUGGGUCACAGUUUACAUCAUCAGUCAUGUGUGAGUGUCGUCAGGAGGUCUGUUUCAUAUGUGUGUGUGUGUGUGUGCAGGAACUUAUGCUGCACAUAUGCAUGUGUUGGGUGGUGUGGAGAGGAUAUCGCAUGUUGACAGUGUGUGUAAGAGUUCGGUUCAGUGAUGCAUGUGUGUGUGUUGGCAGGGUGCUAAUCCAAAGUGCAAUGAUGUGUGGCUUUGUCAUGCCAGAUGAAAUGACAGCAUCCGGUGUUUGAUGGACGUGGACGUCCAGCAGGAUCGAAGCCUCGCCGGGGAGCUGAAGCAUUUCUUGGUGCAUUACCGUCACCUACAGGUCAGUGGAAUAUCAUGAAACCAUUGGUGGGAAAAAGGAGGAUGGAAAUUCAAAUUCAUUCAUUCAAUGAAUUUGAAAAUGUUUUUUUAUAGUGUGGUGUUGCUACUUUUAAAUAAGUAAAAGAUCUCAGUACUGAACAGGCGGCUUUAGUGAGGCUACAAAGUCUUGAAGUCUUUUUGAAACGGAGAGCUGUGAUGAAAGAUCACGAGAAGAUGAAAAUCUCUAUUUUACAAAUAUUUGUCUUUGAAAGCAAUAAAACAAUAAAAAAAAAAGCAUCAAAUAUAAAUUAUAAAAUAAAAUUACUUCAAAGUAAGAUCAUAAAAUAGGUCUUGAGCUGUUUUUUUAAAACUAUCAUCAGAAGUUGCUUGUCUUAUUCGUGGUGGGAACAUGUUGGUGAAUAAAAACAGAAAACGAUAACAAUAACAGCAGCGAUAGACGUGGAAGGACACUGACAGGACUGUGAAGGACGGCGAAGGCUCGGCCUGAAACCCAGGGUUUCCUGCCAGAUGAGAAAACACAAAAAACUCAGAGGAAGAAGCCGAGUUAGUGACAUGCAUUGAUGGUACAUGAAUGCAUACAGAUACGGUGGAAAGUCCUCCACACUCAAGGUAUUAUACUUGCUGCACAGUCUUAUGGGCUGAGCUUUACUGGGAGAGGGGGGGCUAUUCCUGUGAUACUUACCAUGACUGAGAGCAGUGCAUUAUGGAUGAAGGUUCGGGGCGCCUCGCCCAAGCCUGCAUGGAGGCGUUUCCACAGGAGGGACGUGUGUUUUCCCCAUUCAUGCACCUCGAUAGUUCCCCCAAAAAGCAUCAAGAUUUAUUAAUAAAACGCUUUUCACAGAGAAUACAGAGAAUACACAAUCUGUAAUGAAAUUACACAGUAAAAAAAACAGAAAAAAUGAAAAUAAAAAUACAAAAUAAAAACAUGGAAACAUAAAAUGUCGACUUCCUCCAGGUUACUCAAACACCUGUCUAAAAAAGUGCAGAAUCAGCAGAGCAUUCAGAAGCUUAGGUACCACCAAUUACCACGGGUCUUAAAGCUUAUAACUUAAAAUCAGAGCAUCUGAUAACUAAAAUCGUUUACCUUGUUACAACAUAUAAAUAAAACCACCAGGAUCUGAAAGUGUAGCAUAAAUUGUGGCUUAAAACUGCAUAAAAAUGUCAAUUAAUGGCAGAACACCAACACAUGCGCACUAGUCACUGGUGAAAUAACACUGUUAAUGAGAACUUUUACUUUUGAUACUUUAAGUACAUUCUGUUGUAAUUGUGUAAUUAUGGAUACACUGACUUUUAAUGUAUUUUUGUAGUGUGGUAUCACUACUUCAAUGUUACAAACGUUUGUCUUCUUCUCUUGUUGUUGCGUAUUUUCUCUCUUCUCUCUGAGUCUUUGCCAAGUUUCCAUCAGAUCCCAGCAGGUCUGUGAACACGGACAAAAAAAACCAAAACAACAAAACCCAAAAAAAGCAUUCAUCAGCCGCAGCAGCAGGGAGUCGAGGUCGGCUGUGAAACGUCAACUCUGACCUGCCGAGAAGCGAGAAGAGGAGGAUCGAAAGGAGUUCGCACAACGAAAACACUUUGAAAUGGAAACCUUUCCUUUUUUUUUUUUUUUUUUUUUUUUUGGACAUUGCAAGGUCGUCGUGUGUUUGUGUGUUUCAGACGCUGCUCGAUGUUCAACACGUUGGCAUUGAGCUCGCAGUAGGAUGCAACACUUACUGAAAACAUGUUUAGAAUUUAAAAAAUGUGACUGACAUGAAAAACAAUAUAAACAUAUUUUACAAUUACAUUAUAUUUAUACUUAUUUAUAAUAUUUAUACUGUACUGUACCAUCACAUACCAUAACAUACUCAUACUUUAACUAUUUUUGACUUAUUUCAUGCUUUUGUACCUAUAGUUAACAUUAAAGUAUGAUGUAAGCAUGA